AACAAGGCCAGUGUGGCUGCACCAGAGAGAUCAAGAGCAUUCAUGAGCAGAGAAGUGUUACUCACUGAGGGAUGGAGAGAAGGCAUCAUGCACUUGAAAAAUUUCUGAAGACUUGAGAUUGUAUUUGCUCCAGAGGAGUUCUUUUGAUGAAAGAGAUCAAGUCAUAUAGGAAUGUUCUUCCCUCUCUAUGAGUGUAAGCUGUGUGGGUCCUUUCAAAACUUUAGGUCUCAGUGAAUCAUCACAUGAGAGGGAUAUUUGAAAGUAGCGCAUUUCACUCAUUCAUGUGGAGUCUUCACCUGAUGGAUGCCUCAUUCUGUGAAUAAACUGGCGGUGUUGAUCUACAGCUGUAUACAGACCACAUCUUUCUUCUAAAGCUGCAAGGCACACAUUUAAACUCAAAUCUCAGAGAUUGCAACACCUAGAUUGCAGUACAAAUUGGUAUGACCGACCAGACCCAGCAACCAUCGAUCUUCAUUCUUCCUGCCACCCUGAAAACUGAAACCUUUUGUAGCAAGAGGUAACUAAAAUUCUGAAGUCGGCUUGCAAUAAAGGGAAGCAACAACUUUAAGAUUGGACUGAAAUAUCUGACAGCUCUCUGAAACAAAACAAAAACAAAAUGUACCCAGGUUUCAGUUACGCUCUAUUUGGUUUCUUUUCUUGUUAAAUAAGUGCUGGCAUAUAACUCAUUAGACACCUUGUGGGCCGCCCCACAAAGAUGUGGGCAGUUCAAUUUAGAGUAAGUGGGAGGUGUAUAAUUCAGAGUUUACACUUCUAGAUAAAUCAGGCUUCAGCAUGAGAUUUUUGCCAUAUACUUCAGAUAAUCUUAUUUCCCUAGCUGCUGGCUCAAAUUUGAAUUUAAACAGAAAUACAAACAAUACAUAGAGGGGGGAAAGUUUUCCAAUAACAAUUUCCAUUAAUAAUGAAAAUUUGUUUGAGGAAGUAAACACCUCUUAGAACUUGUUUUCCUGAUUCAUUCCUUCAUUUUGGAGUAGACAGGAAAACUAUGUCCUUAUCUAGGAGGCUGAAGGCAGAUCAUCUGUUUGGUCUAUUCUCAAGUGGUUCUAAAACCUUUUUAACUAGUCUUGGAGACAUGUUUAACUGUUGGUCAGAGAAUGUGCUUUUACUAGAAAGAGCUUCAGCAGAUUCUCUCUUCUUGGUGUCUAGUGAUUUCUGCCCAACCCUUGGCCUUUCCUGGGACAGUUUGUGCUCAAACUGGAUGAUCACAUGUCUCCAAGUGUAGCUUGACCUAAGUCUGUUUAAUGGGUAGACAGGGCAUUAGAAGUGGUUGCGGAUUUUUCUUCUAUCAGAAAAAUAUAUAUUAAAAACAAAACAGCAACAAUAAAAAGUACAAGACAAAAACAAGCAAACAAACAAACAGAAAACUGGAGUAUCUCUCAUUUGAGAAAUAUCCCUUCUCCCUCAAGAUGAUUAGAAUUCUGUGGCAUAUAGUUUCCACAGUUAUCAAGAUGAGGUUUACUAUUAGGCCUCAACAGACAAAAUAACACCACAACACACUGCUCUUUGCCAACUAUAUGGCCAAAGAUUUACAAAUGAAUAACUAUUUCACUCAAUGCUAAUUAUGGUAUGAUGGUACUAGCAUUCUCAUUCCCAGCUGUUGCUAGUUGUGGUAGACUAUUUGCAACAAAUGACAGAAGUUCCCUUACUUGAAAGAAUCCCCCCUUGCCAUGUAAUUUUGCAAAUCCCCUCAUCAACAGAUGGAGUAUCCUUGCCCUUCUCUUUAACCUGGGCUGGCCUUGUGACUUUCUUUGACCAACAGAGUGUGGUGGAAGUGAUUCUUGACCCAGACAUAAUGACACUUUUAUGUCUGCAUAUAACAUCAUGAGAAGCUUUCUUGCUCUUAUUCUGCCCUUGUCUGUAGUGGAGAAUCAUCUGUUAUUGCUAUUUGAGAUCACAAGUCAUUACCUUCCUGAGGAAUGGACUCUGUUAUUAAAUUCACUCUCAUCUUUCUGAUUUAGAUUUCUCCUAAUACUGAUUUCUCCUAAUCCUCCCUCAGAAAGACUGAUUUCUACUGCUUAAUUCUAGGCACAGCUUACUUUCAGAAUACACAUUUUGACCAAACUCUUCAUAAACUGUGUAGAACCAGACAAGGGUGGGGUAAGUAAAUAAAACAAGGCGCUUAGAUUGGAUGCAAUAUUUAAGGGGCACCAAAAACGCAAAAGUCAAGAGAAAUAAUAGUUUAAUGCAGUAUUAUAAAAAAUCAAAAUCAAUGCAAAAGUCCAUAAUGAACACACUAUCAGAAAUUUAAACAAAGACAUGAUGAGUAUGGAACCAUGUAAGAUGGAUUUGGGCUAAAUAUAUCUAAGUUAAAUUUCUUUACUUUGACAGUUGUUACUUGUGAGGCCUCAGAAAAUUUAUAUUCUCCAAAUCUCUGUUUUGUCAUUUGCAUAAUGGAACUAUUAUUUUCUGUGGGUUAUUUAAAAGAGUAAAUAAAAUAAGGCAUAAACUACUUAGCCUGUUCUUACCACAUAUUACUACCCAGUGUUAAUGAUUUGUC
rnacentral:lncRNA from 10 species